rnacentral:tRNA from 1 species
GCCGAAGUGGCGGAAUUGGUAGACGCACCGGAUUCCCAAUCCGGCGAGCGAACACGGCACCUAUGCUUUAGCGUUGCCUAGCUCGUGAGGGUUCGAGCCCCUCCUUCGGCACCA